rnacentral:rRNA from 1 species
UACGUAGGUGGCAAGCGUUGUCCGGAUUUACUGGGCGUAAAGAGCGCGCAGGCGGUCGUUUCAAGUCGAUGUGAAAGCCCCCGGCUCAACUGGGGAGGGUCAUUCGAUACUGAUCGACUCGAAGGCAGGAGAGGGUAGUGGAAUUCCCGGUGUAGUGGUGAAAUGCGUAGAUAUCGGGAGGAACACCAGUGGCGAAGGCGACUACCUGGCCUGUUCUUGACGCUGAGGCGCGAAAGCUAGGGGAGCAAACGGG